GACGAACGCUGGCGGCGUGCUUAACACAUGCAAGUCGAACGGAAAGGCCCUGCUUUUGUGGGGUGCUCGAGUGGCGAACGGGUGAGUAACACGUGAGUAACCUGCCCUUGACUUUGGGAUAACUUCAGGAAACUGGGGCUAAUACCGGAUAGGAGCUCCUGCUGCAUGGUGGGGGUUGGAAAGUUUCGGCGGUUGGGGAUGGACUCGCGGUUUAUCAGCUUGUUGGUGGGGUAGUGGCUUACCAAGGCUUUGACGGGUAGCCGGCCUGAGAGGGUGACCGGCCACAUUGGGACUGAGAUACGGCCCAGACGCCUACGGGAGGCAGCAGUGGGGAAUAUUGCACAAUGGGCGGAAGCCGGAUGCAGCAACGCCGCGUGCGGGAUGACGGCCUUCGGGUUGUAAACCGCUUUCGCCUGUGACGAAGCGUGAGUGACGGUAAUGGGUAAAGAAGCACCGGCUAACUACGUG
rnacentral:rRNA from 1 species